UAGCACAAAGUAUUAAAGGUAACGCCUGCCCAGUGAUAUAUUUUAACGGCCGCGGGAUCCUCCACCGUGCAAAGGUAGCAUAAUCACUUGUCCCCUAAAUAGUGACUAGUAUGAACGGCCAAAUGAAGAUUUUACUGUCUCUUAUAGCCAAUCUAUGAAACUAAGCUGCCAGUACAAAAACUGGUAUAUUAACAUAAGACGAAAAGACCCUGUGGAACUUCAAGCACAACCCACCACAAUGGACUAACUGCUUUUAGUUGGGGCAACUUUGGAAAAAAACAAAACUUCCAACCUAAAUAAAGAUUAACACAUCUAUAUAUUAUUACACGACCCAACACAUGUUGAUCAAAGAACCAAGCUACCCCAGGGAUAACAGCGCCAUCCCCUCUUAGAGCCCAAAUCGACGAGUGGGGUUUACGACCUCGAUGUUGGAUCAGGGCCCCCAAACAGUGCAACAGCUGUUAAUGGUUUGUUUGUUCAACAAUUAAAGCCCUACGUGAUCUGAGUUNAGACCGGAGCAAUCC
rnacentral:rRNA from 1 species